rnacentral:rRNA from 1 species
UAACUGCGAGUGAAGCGGGAAAAGCUCAAAUUUUAAAUCUGGCGGUCUCAGGCCGUCCGAGUUGUAAUCUAGAGAAGUGAUGCCCGCGCUGGACCGUGUACAAGUCUCCUGGGAUGGAGCGUCAUAGAGGGUGAGAAUCCCGUCUCUGACACGGACUACCNAGGGCUUUGUGGUACGCUCUCAAAGAGUCGAGUUGUUUGGGAAUGCAGCUCAAAAUGGGUGGUAAAUUCCAUCUAAAGCUAAAUAUUGGCGAGAGACCGAUAGCGAACAAGUACCGUGAGGGAAAGAUGAAAAGAACUUUGGAAAGAGAGUUAAACAGUACGUGAAAUUGCUGAAAGGGAAACGCUUGAAGUCAGUCGCGUUGGCCGGGAAUCAGCCUCGCUUUUGCGUGGUGUACUUUCCGGUUGACGGGUCAGCAUCAAUUUUGAUCGCUGGAAAAAGGCUUGGGGAAUGUGGCAGCUUCUGCUGUGUUAUAGCCCCAUGUCACAUACGGCGAUUGGGAUUGAGGAACUCAGCACGCCGAAAGGCCGGGUUUCGACCACGUUCGUGCUUAGGAUGCUGGCAUAAUGGCUUUAAGCGACCCGUCUUGAAACACGGACCAAGGAGUCUAACAUGCCUGCGAGUGUUUGGGUGGAAAACCCGAGCGCGUAAUGAAAGUGAAAGUUGAGAUCCCUGUCGUGGGGAGCAUCGACGCCCGGACCAGAACUUUUGGGACGGAUCCGCGGUAGAGCAUGUAUGUUGGGACCCGAAAGAUGGUGAACUAUGCCUGAAUAGGGUGAAGCCAGAGGAAACUCUGGUGGAGGCUCGUAGCGAUUCUGACGUGCAAAUCGAUCGUCAAAUUUGGGUAUAGGGGCGAAAGAC